GCCCUGGUGGCACAAUCGGUUAGCGCGCCGUACUUAUAAUGCGGAGGUUGUGAGUUCGAGCCUCACCCAGGGCA
rnacentral:tRNA from 1 species